rnacentral:lncRNA from 1 species
AGCAAUAUGCGUGGGGAAUUUAACGGCUUGCAAGGUUUGAUUUUGAAUGAUUGUCAAUAUGCUUAUUAUGUUCAUUGUUUUGUUCAUCGUCUUCAAUUAGCAUUGAUUGUAGCAGCUAGAGAAGUGGUUGAAGUAUAUCAAUUCUUUAAAGACUUGUCUGAUAUUGUUAAUAUUGCUUCGGCUUCUUCCAAACGACAUGAUGAAUUACAAAAAUC